rnacentral:tRNA from 1 species
GCUGGUGUAGCUCAGUUGGUAGAGCAACUGAUUCGUAAUCAGUAGGUCCGGCGUUCGAGUCGCCGCACCAGCA